UUUUCAUAAAGAACACAAUUCGACCAGUUUAAGGAUUCUUAAAUUUGUCUUGAUAUUUCUGGAAGAUUUCCUUUUUUUAAUUUAUACAUUUAUCUCAUCUGUUUUAUUAAUGCAUUGUGUCGGAGAUUGUUCUGAAACAUUCAAAGGUUGCAGUUGUAUUAUUCUUUCAGUUUAUGGCUUCUCUCAGGAAAUGGUUAUCCAGACUGUAAACAAAUGUGGGGAAAAAAUACAUUGUUAAAAUAGUUGUGUGUAAUUAUUAAGGCAUUUCUUUUACAUUUUUCAAAAAGUUCUCAUUAUGUUGCUAGAACAGGACCCGUCUAUCAUACAUUAAUAAAUCUAUAAAUGACAGCAAUCAAAUAGUACAAAAUAGUAGUAAACAUGUUAUAACACAGACUGAACAUCAACAGGCUGAAAUAGUACAUGUUCAUUAAAUAAAUGGUAACUGUAAGAUUUGAAAAAGAGCAAUACAAAACAAGAAGGAGGUGCAAGUGUAUAAGAAGUGAUUAACUGUGAGGAUCAGGCGUCUCGUUACAGCCGGAAGAGGCAGUGAGAAGAGGAGCACUGCACCAAUGUAAGAGCACAUAUACUGACAGAUUAAAAAUGAAAUGAAAAUUUGAAGUCAUUUGAAACUCCUAUUUCGGUUUUAAACCCAGUAAGCUUAAAUCUUCUGACAGUCAAAGCCUCCAUGAAUUUUUAAUCCUGGCUUUGAUCAUGGCUAUGUUCUAAACGAGAAGGGGGAAAAAAAACAUUGAGUUUCCUUAAAAUUUUUAAGGUUAUCACUGUGUCUGGAAUAUUCUGGAAAAAAUAAGUGAUGGGCUGAAAAGAAAGAGAUACAAGAAGAAAAAAGACAGAUGAAGAGGAAGAGAGACCUGAUUUCAGUACUGCAAUUGACAAAAAGAUGGGUCAGAAGAUGCACCGUGCAGCAAAAGGCCCUCUAAAUACCGUCCAAGGUGGAAAUGAUUAUCGAGCAGGAAGUGGCCGUUUGAAUUUCAAAUGGAUAGCAUUACCUUUCCUUGUGCGGGGGGUGGAAAAAGCCCCUCCUCCACCACUGCCACGCAGAACUACCAACCUGACCUGAACCUCACUGCCUACUCAUUUACUCAUCUGCAUUGGGGCAAAAGAGAAAGAAACAGACAGAGAACAAAAGAUUUUUUCCCCUUUUGUCCAUCUGUCUUUGCUGGUGUGUUAGUGGUUAAAGAAAAAGUGGUGAGAUCUGACACUGGUCUCACAUCCAGAGAGCACAGGGAGGGGAGCCGGCAGCUGGAAGUGUUCCGAAAGACAGUAAGAAAACAAGAACAAAAGAAAGAAACAAAAAAAGAGAGAAAAGGGGGAAAUAGAGAGAGAGAGAGAGAGAGAGAGAGAGAGAGAGAGAGAGAGUGAGAGAGUGAGAGAGAGAGAGAGAGAGAGAGAGAGUGAAAACAUGAAAGAGAGAGAGAGUUUAACUGGAGCCCCUAUAUCCAGCCCCUAGAAGGGGCUCAUUACAGGCAGACAGGCAUGCCAUGCCUGCGCAGGGUCACUGGGUUUAAACAUAAAGUGGCCUUAUGGAGUUAUUACUGUAGUAGCCCUGAAAAUCUAACACCCAUCUGCUACAGAACUGUCCAGGCUUUACCUCAACAUUCAGACUGCCACCCAUCCGCUGUUUAGCAUCACCCUUCAGGAAUUUCUAAACACACCUUCAAAUGUGUAAGAAUUACAUGCCUAUUACGUGUAACAUUAAAAUGUUUUAUGGUGUCAGAGCACAUCAACGUACAUUAAGAUCAAUGGAAAUGAUGUACAUUAUGUCAAAAAACACAAUGACUUGAGCGUGCAAAGGGAGACAACAGAAAGGUUAUUUAACCAUUUGGCAGUUAUUGGUAUAUAUGAUAUUGACUUGCAUAUAGCUUAUUUAUUUCUUUAGUACUCACUGGGCUUUCGAAAAUGAACUUUCGAUUAUAUUUUCUAUUAUACAGAAAAUACAUCAUGAUUUACAGCUAUUUUGUUCAUUUUCAUAUAAAGGAUUGUGUGAGCACUAAAUAGAAGCAUGAUGCCAUGUUGCCAGCAUAAACAUGGUUAAAUUUCUUGUAUUCUUGUGUGUAAAAUUUGUUGGCUGCUCUUAAAAACAUUAGGCGGCACAAACGUUUGUGCUCAAGCUCAGCAAAAGAUGCCAAGCCAAGUGUGGAUUUGAAGUUUUGCAGCCCUUCUCUCGACAAAAAAUGUCAGACAACAUGGCAGGCAGGCAGUCUCUCUCUCUCUCACACACACACACACACACACACACACACACACACACACACACACACACACACACACACACACACAUAUCCCUACAUACACAUACACCAGAGCUCAGCAUUACAGUAAGUAGGCCAAAAGUCAUGUGAGGACAGAAUUUGGAUAGAGCACAAAAUGAACAAAAUAUAAAAAAAUAAGUAAAAUAAUAAUAAAAAAAGACAGCGAGACAGCCAUACACCAACCGAGUGGGAGAGAAUGCGAGACAGUAGGAAGGAAGACUACUGACAAAACAAAAAAAAGGAAAGAAAAUGGGCCUGAUGCUAUUUUCUGUGCUGUCAACUAGAGGGUAAUCUGUAGAAGCUCUCCUCGGUAAGAUGGCAGGCUAAGACCAGGCUAAGUCACUGAGCCGUCUUUCGAACGCUUACACAACCUCGCAGCAUACCUGAAAUAGAGAACGCGAUCCCACACAGCAGCCAGAACCACCAUCAGAACAAGGAACCAAGGAAAUCUUCAUGUUCAAGAAGAAUCCAAAUGAAGAAUGACUUCACUGAAAUAAUGAGGGUUUGGAAUAUUAAUGAUGGAACAAUAUGAACAAUUUAUGAUAUGAAAAAUGUUAAACUCUAUAGCAGGGUUUUUGGUAUAUCAGAGAAUCUGUUUACGAAUUCAGAUUUUCCAGAUGAUCACAAAUGAUAUAGUACUGCAAAAAGGAUUACAUUAUUGUAUUAGAUAACUUGUGAGAUUUAUAUUUGAAAUCCUAGUUGUUGUUUUUGAAAUUGUGAAAGAACAAAUAUUUUUUUCCUUCAGUAGCUUAUGUCAAUAUAGAAAUACAAUUAUCUCCGAUUAAAUAUUUGUUCCCUAUGAAAUUAUGCUGUUCCCUUUAAAAAAAACUAUAUAUAUAUA
ensembl:lncRNA